CGAGUGGCGAACGGGUGAGUAACACGUGGGUGAUCUGCCCUGCACUUCGGGAUAAGCCUGGGAAACUGGGUCUAAUACCGGAUAGGAGCCAUCUUUAGUGUGAUGGUUGGAAAGUUUUUCGGUGUAGGAUGAGCUCGCGGCCAAUCAGCUUGUUGGUGGGGUAAUGGCCUACCAAGGCGGCGACGGGUAGCCGGCCUGAGAGGGUGGACGGCCACAUUGGGACUGAGAUACGGCCCAG
rnacentral:rRNA from 1 species